rnacentral:rRNA from 1 species
ACAAGCGGUGGAGUAUGUGGUUUAAUUCGAUGCAACGCGAAGAACCUUACCUGGUCUUGACAUCCCGGAGACCCUUAGGAAACUAGGGGGUGCUUCCAUCUGGAGGAAUCUGGAGACAGGUGCUGCAUGGCUGUCGUCAGCUCGUGUCGUGAGAUGUUGGGUUAAGUCCCGCAACGAGCGCAACCCUUGCCUUUAGUUGCCAGCAGUUCGGCUGGGCACUCUAAAGGGACUGCCGGUGUUAAACCGGAGGAAGGUGGGGAUGACGUCAAGUCCUCAUGGCCUUUAUGACCAGGGCUACACACGUACUACAAUGGCCGAUACAAAGGGCAGCGACACUGCGAGGUGAAGCCAAUCCCGUAAAAUCGGUCUCAGUCCGGAUUGGAGUCUGCAACUCGACUCCAUGAAGUUGGAAUCGCUAGUAAUCGUGGAUCAGCAUGCCACGGUGAAUACGUUCCCGGGCCUU